ensembl:lncRNA
UACUGAAGGAUAUAAAAAAAACAACAACAGCAAUAGAAUAAUAUUAAACACAAAGUGAACCCGUCUUCCUUCAUUAAAUAGGUUCUUUUAGAUGUUAAGGAGGAAUUGACUUAACCAGGCUGGCGGAGAAUGAAGACAACCGGACACCUGCUGCAGAUGGGGAAUCAGUGAACUUUUAUUGUGACAGAGACAACCUCUCUACACAGCUCACAUCAGGAGAUUCCUAAUAUUUGCUGUGAGGAUGGGUAUAUAUUCUCUAAAACUUACAGGAGGGGGUUGUGAGGACAGUGCUGCAUUAGCAGAAAAACAACUCCAUAAAAGGAAAGCGGCCUUGGGUGUUCUAGUCUCUUCGCUUGCAGAUAUCUUGCACCUGCAGAAUGAGGCGAUCGCUUCUUAUCGCUCUCAAGGCCAAAGUCGUGAGCACAUUUUUAUUACACAGUUGCACAGUAACUUUAAAGCUGAACAAUAUUUAAAGCUGAAUAAUGUUUGAUCAGAUUAUAUUUUCUUCAAAUCCCCCUUUUGACCCAUCUUAAAUGGGUCAACACACAAAAAUAAGUAACAUUCAAAGGAACACAGAGACGUGUCGAAGCCUGGCUCGAAAAACUCCUCGGGUCUUAUCAUUUGUCUUUAUCUGUCAUUGCAGAUGAGGAGAAAAGAGUCCAGGCACCACCCUGCCCAGGGGUCGGCUGCAAGCAGUCUCGGUUCCCGACGAAAGCAGUAACAGCUGUCCUGCACACACGGAUACAACGAGUUAGUGCAACCAGGUUUAGGUAAACCAGCGGCCUGACGCAUGGCCUAGGGUCCUCCCCUCCUCUUUGGGUCUGUUUUCAUCCGUUGUUGCAGCUGCCUGCAUCUUCCUUACUUUGCUCCACGGCCUUCUGCAGCUCUGCUGUUCGGCUCUUCUCAGAGGUCAGCAUCCUUCUGCUCACCGUCCCUUUUCCUCCGGGCUUAAUGCGCGUCUCGUCACAGCUCUGUCAGCUGACGCAGCCUGGGAAUUUCCCCCGUGUAGUGAAACGGGCUUUAGGUUUAGUGCUCUCCGUCUCUGCUGCAUGAGAUCACUCUUUUGCAGCACUGUUGACAUCCUCAAGUUGUUGUUGUGAGUCCAGCUGCUGUGGCCUUCAGGGGUCAAAGGGUCAAAGAUGGUCGCGGAGAGGGCAACGAUGAUAGAGGGGAGGGUAGGAGUCCAGGUCAGCUUCGGCUCUCAGAAAAAACAAAAACAAAACAAAACAGGCGAACAGGAAAAUGAUGUUGUGUUGGCUGUGCUGUGUUGGCUGUGUUAUCCCGAGAGGGGAGAAACAACGAGAUCUCGUCUCCCCCCUUUUUUGUUUUUGUUUUUUUUUUUUUUUUUUUCUCCAUAUAAUCAACUCAUAACCCCUCAAGUUGACAGGACAACACAGGUACGUGUUAAAAUUCUUUAGAUCCUGUUUAGAAACCUAAAAAAGAAUUUCCUAUCAUUCAGUAGUCAUUUGUCUUAAACAAUCAACAAAAACAUGUCCCAAGUCGACCCUUUUAACCACUAAAUUUGUCGUGUCCUCACUUAAUCCUCAGACCAGUGUCUUUGUCUUUUGACGUUACGUUGUUGUCCUGCAACCCAAAGCGUUUAAUUGUCAGUAAUGUAUGAACUAUAUCAUUUAAAAACAGGUGUAUGUUAAGUGUCGCUACUUUAACCUUGCAUGUACGUGCACAUGUAUGUAAGCUGUUUCUUCAUUGCAUGUAUGGGUGCGUCUGUAUAUGGGUUACUUUAACUUUUUCUCAAACGAGGCAUUUCUCUAACA